GGGUCCUUGCGUGAUCACCAGCUGCAGCCUCUUUCUUCGCUAUUUGCUGGGUUAAAACGCUUCUCUCUCACUUCCCUCCUUUUCGCCCCUGGAUCUGAGAAAUAAAUCCAAGUCUCCUACUGCAUCAGCCCUCCCCAUCGCUGCUAUCUCACUUCUCCUUACCGAAGAUAAUCUCUUUGUUUCCUGAAGGAAACCGUAAUAUUCAGACAUUUGAGCGAGUCCAGUGUUUACAAGAUGAGAAAUGCCACUGCCAGCGUCCUUCUGGAGAGAAAGGCUGAAAUGGAGGACCGACGCCUUCCUUAUAAGCUCAUUGGACCCUGAGCCAGCACCGACCUGGUAGAAAAAGCAACCACGAAGCCAGAGAGAAAGAGAGAGCCAGAGGAGGGAAGAGAGCGCCAGACUGAGAUGAAAGGGAACCACGCAGAGAAACGCUGGGAAAGGAACGAGACGGCAGGUCCCCGGAACAGAGGGCAGGACAAGCACUCACUGGCUCGCGGACAGAGGUUUAUAUAUUUUUAUUUUUAAAGUCUCAUUUUGGGCCCGAUGAAGAAAAGGGAGAAUUCAGGGAAGGGGAGAGGAAAGAGAAUUAUCCGGGUCCUGGCUCACAGCACGAACGCUCAAGAAGGAAAGAGCCCUGGAUAAACCCGAGUGGGCGCCAGGGCAGCUCAGGCUCCAGGCAGGCGUCGUCCCACUCGCAGCUCAGCUCGCGACCGGGGCCCUCCAAGCCGCACCCUGCCCGCCCCGCGGUGGCUGCCGCAGCUUCCUUGCUCUUCUUAUCAUCUCCAUCUUUAUGAUGAGGCUUGUUAACAAGACCAGCGAGCUGGCCACUCACAUCUAUCUCAGCCGCGCCCGCUCAGCCGAGCAGCGGCCGGCGGGGGGGACUGGGAGGCGCUAAUUAAUUGAUUCCUUCGGACUGUAAAAUAUCGCAGCGUCUACGCGGAAUCCGUGGACUCAUAAACAAUAUCUCUGCUGGGUGUGAGUGAACUGUCUCAAAGAAUUUUUUUCAUAGGUAUGUCAGACAGCCCUGAAUUUUUAGUUGCUGAGACCUAAGUGAGACUAAUUUUUAGGGGGCCAAAACAGGGAACUCAGUGCCAGAAAGUGCCUCUCCAAAAACGUUGGGAAUGAUUUUGUUGGGAAAAGGAGAAAAGAAAAUUUGGGGUUGUGAGAUAGCUUUUUCCUGUCGAUUGUGUAGACCCAACCAAGUUUAAAAAUGGGAGUCCAAUGGGCUGGGACCGCUGGAAGCAUCUCUUUUCCUAGCGAAAGGGAGGCUAAUCCCAGAUUUGAGGCUACCAAUAGAAGCCCAGGUCAACCUUUGUUUCAUGUUGCUCUCUAGACUCGAUAUUUAAAAUAAAAAUUUAAAAUUAAGCAAAUAUUAGCCUUCAGGAACCCCCUUAUGCUCAGAGAACAGCUAGAAAUCAACAUGUCUGUUAAACACCACACCAGACCAAUGCGGCCUCCUUUUUCCUACCUGGCAGAACAGAGUCAAUCUCUAAUGUACUUACAUUAGGUCUAGAAGAGAGCAUCUUGGGACACAUGGGAUAACCUAAUUAUAUAAUACUAUGUAGGAGUGAUUAUGCAGUAGAUCCUGCUGAAAACAGGACUUAAUCCUGUUCUAAAUACCCAGCUUCAGACAAGAGAGAUACAACAGGGAAAUAGAUAUUGGCGACCACUUACAUAAUAAUGCUUGUAGACAUAGAAGGGGAUUUUAGGAGACAAGAAUAAUAGAAACACAGAAAAGAAAAAAUAAAAGUUCAGCAGAUGGAGACUGUCAUUACUAAUGCCUGAACUUCUUCUAGUUCUUACUUUUAAGAUCACCAGAGAAAUAUGUACUAUAAAGAUGUAAGUCCAACAAUUGUAUUUUUAAUAUAUUUGGUAUACAUACACCAUGCAGGCAAACAUAAUUUACAGUGUGUAAAUAUGCACUUUGUGUAUGUACAAUAUUUUUUCAUUAAAUUUUUGUGUACAUAUAGCAAGAUCUAGGUAAAAUUAAUGCACAGAUUCUAUGUGUCCUGUGGAGUAUAUAAGCAUGUGGCCAAAUAGACUCAGGACUGUACAUUCCCCAUG